CCUACGGGUGGCAGCAGUGGGGAAUAUUGCACAAUGGGGGAAACCCUGAUGCAGCGACGCCGCGUGAGCGAUGAAGUAUUUCGGUAUGUAAAGCUCUAUCAGCAGGGAAGAAAAUGAAGGUACCUGACUAAGAAGCCCCGGCUAACUACGUGCCAGCAGCCGCGGUAAUACGUAGGGGGCCAGCGUUAUCCGGAUUUACUGGGUGUAAAGGGAGCGUAGGCGGCGGUGCAAGCCAGAUGUGAAAGCCCGGGGCUCAACCCCGGGACGGCAGUUGGAACUGGGCGGCUAGAGUGUCGGAGAGGCAGGCGGAAUUCCUAGUGUAGCGGUGAAAUGCGUAGAUAUUAGGAGGAACACCAGUGGCGAAGGCGGCCUGCUGGACGAUGACUGACGUUGAGGCACGAAAGCGGGGGGAGCAAACAGGAUUAGAUACCCUUGUAGUC
rnacentral:rRNA from 1 species